GACGAACUCUGGCUGCGUGCUUAACACAUGCAAGUCGAGCGGCGCGGCUAACGGUUGAGUAACUCGUGCGUAUCUGCCCCCCUCUCUGGGAUAACAGUUGGAAACGGCUUCUAAUACCGGAUAGUGGGGGAUGACUCGCGUCCUAUCAGCUUGUUGGUGGUGUCGUGGCCUACCAAGUCGACGACCGGUAGCCGGCCUGAGAGGGCGACAGGCCACAUUGCGCUAAGAGACGGACCAAACUCCUACGGGAGGCAGCAGGGGGGAAUAUUGCGCAAUGAGGGAAACAGUGAUGCAGAAACGCCGCGUGCGGGAUGACGGAGAUCGGGGUGGAAACCGAUUUCAGCCAUGACGCGGUAGUGGCAGAAGAAGCACAGGCGAACUACGUGCCAGAAGCCGCGGUAAUUC
rnacentral:rRNA from 1 species